CAGGCGUGACUCACACAAGCCGGGUGCGC
rnacentral:sRNA from 1 species